rnacentral:rRNA from 1 species
UACGUAGGGUGCGAGCGUUGUCCGGAUUUAUUGGGCGUAAAGGGCUCGUAGGCGGCGUGUCGCGUUGGGAGUGAAAGACCGGGGCUUAACCCCGGUUCUGCUUCCGGUACGGGCAUGCUGGAGUGUGGCAGGGGAGACUGGAAUUCCUGGUGUAGCGGUGGAAUGCGCAGAUAUCAGGAGGAACACCGGUGGCGAAGGCGGGUCUCUGGGCCAUUACUGACGCUGAGGAGCGAAAGCGUGGGGAGCGAACAGG